rnacentral:lncRNA from 1 species
AUUCAGUCUCCUUCUUUAGGCACAGACACUUGAGUGGUGCCAGCAGAUUUGUCACUAUAAGUAAUGCCUUCCUGCCUGUAUAGCACUUAUCUUCCCUGCCACAGCUCAUUGCGUUUUUUCUUAAUUGAAUUUGUAAACCUUCUGGGAUGGUUUCACACAAACACCAGGUGUUGCCAUGCUUCACUUUGAAUGGGGCCGUGCGUAUUACUGAGGUGCAUUCUAAUAGCAAACAUAAAUAUGAUGUAGCCCUGUAGGGUAAUGGUGUCUUGUGUGUUUGUGCAAAGGGUGGCAAACUCUUCCAUAUGUUCCAGUAUUCCAUGACUCUCGUUGAUUUUUAGUGCCUUCAGGGAGCGCAAAUUGUGAGUUUACUUUGGGAGGUUUGUAGAAUUGCAUAUCCCUCAUGAGCUCGGCAGUUAACUUGCAAUUUGGUUGUAUGUGACUUGCGUGAUGUCCUCCUCACUGCAGUGACACAAGUAGUCCUUGGAUCCUACUGGCAGGGACUCAUCUUUGUCAACAACUUGAUACUGGAAAGGCUUGAGUCUUCCUGGGGUCCUGAAGCAACAGGUUCAGAGUACCUGCCGUAUCUAGCCUCACAGCCCUUGAAGGAUGGAAAGUAAAAGCAAUCUCAACCUCUUCUGGUAACUCAAUUUAGUAUUACGAUUGUGAUGAAUAAGUAAUAGAUUCAGCUUGAGGACAUAAAAAUAAUUGAGUGAUAAGCAUCCACUUUUUUGACAAAGAAGUUUUUAAAUCCAUUUGCAGAGCUAACUUCAUCAACUGACAAGUUUCAGCAUAUACCAGUCUUUGUUCUUCUGUAACUGCCAUGGUAUGAGUACAGCACCUGGGAAGAGAUAGGGCUGCUGGCACCUACCUCGCGC